GUUUUCCAAAACACUCGGGCAUUCCCAUUAAUAACUCAGUGCAGGUCUGCAGCCUGGAUAGGCUUUAAAGUCAACCAGAAGGAAGAACAGACAGAAUGUUUUAAGUAUUUAGAGCAGUCUAAGACACCUGGUGCACAGCCAGUAUGUUUCUGUAUCUUUGUCUGUGUGUUUGUUAAAGAGAAAUGGGUACCAGCUGUGCAGAACAGGGUAGGAGCAAAGGAGACAUCUGUGUUGGACAGGGAGAUGGUGAAUGAACUGUGGUGUUUUGCUUUCCCCACAGGCUGAAGGUGAAAAGGCAGAGGUGAGCAGGAGGAAUGUGCCUCUAAGGUAAAGAUGAGUAUGCACUAGAAAAGAGGCGACUGUACCUGAAGGCAGUGCUCAGAACAGGAAGGUGUAUGCUAAUGUCUUCCAAGGUGCCACCACGUGCUUGUGUUGAUUCAGCUCACCCACUCAGGAUGAAAUGGUCUGUGUUUCUGCUUAAUGUUUUACAAAGGGAUCCAGUAAUGACCAGAACUGGUAUAAGCCCUGAUGUAUCAGAAGUUCUGAAAAGAGACAAGACACAAGGCAAAAGUGUCCUGGGUCAGGAAUCAAUGUAUGAAAGAAGAAAAACUCAACCCAAACAGCUGCCACUCAAUCCCUUUACAAGGAGAGGUAAGUUUAUGAUAUGGUCAGCUAAAUUUUAAACUUUGCUUCUCAUUUGUAAUAAGCAGAAUGUGUCCUGUUUUUUCAUGUUAUGUGCAAUGAGUAUUUAAAUGUCAGUCAUUGCAUAUUUUAGGUGAUUCUUUGAAUAAAUUUGAAGUGUUACACCCUACAGAAGAUGCAGUCUACUGCCCAAAGCACUACAGCAUCCAUGUUCAACUCUUAAACCAUAUUAAGGUUUUCUGUUAUGAAGGGCAUUGCACAGAGUCAUUUGCAAAUUAUUUGUAGACACAGACCAAAUAUCAAGUGAUUAAAUAUGUCUCUGUGCAAUUUCUGUAGUUCAUUUAAAACAUGACUUUACCAGAUCUACUUACUAGGACUGUAUCGCUAGUAACAUUAAGGAAUCUCUGAACUUUUACAAGCCCUAUGAAAUCUUUUUCCUUGAAAGUGCUCCUGUCAGUCCCAGGAAAAAUCUAUAGGAAAGCAUGCUCUAUAGCUCAAGAUGCACAUUAACAAAUUUGAAAUUGUUAGGUAAAUUUUUGCAAGCUUUUAAUUCCAUAGCUUUAUUGUAACUCUAUUUUGGUUAUUAACAGUGAUCUCUCAAAACUCACUUAUUUUGGUCUUACAGACCUCCAAGAACUUCAGAAUGUUUUUUACAACUAGGGCAAAAGUGAAUUGAAGCUAUCCCAACAAGGGAUUCCCCAGUCUCUCAACAAGACAGAAGCUGCAAAGAGGUUUGUAACUUCUUGAAGCCUAGUCUGAUUCUGAAGCUUUGGGAAUAAGAACAAGUCCAAUGUCCACAGGUAUCAGCUGGGUUGUAUGUAUUU